CAACCUGGCCACAUGGACCCAAUAUCCUCCUUACGUCCAAAACAAAGAAGCCCCACUUAAGCUGGUCCAGGUGCCAGAGAAGCAGAGGUUGAGUGCACUUCGCUGCCCCUGCCAGAAACCUCGCAUACGCAGAGGGGAGCUCUAUAAAAAUGGCUCCAGUGUUGGUGUUAACACAUGGCGAUGGCGCUUCCUUAAGAAAUCUCCCCAAACCAUCAACUAAUUCCUUCUACAGACGGCCAUUCAAGCACACAAGCUCUCUCAAUGUUCCUUGCAGGCUUUUACCACCGCAUUCCACUAACGUUUUGCUUUCUCGCUUCUUUAGACCAUCACUUCUCAGGGUCAGGAGCUUUCAGGGAGAAGAUGCUGACAAUUUUGAAGUUACAGAAGAAAGUUUGGAUGGACAAAAUAAGGGUGCCAAUGAGAAAAUCGGAAAUCAGAAAAAUAAUCUUAGUGCUGAGGGAAAUUCGUUUCUAUUAAUAUUAGCAAUUGCUGUGGGCGUAGCUGCUAUAAUUACAAUUACAUCAAUUGGUCUCAAAUGGCCUAGUGUUGGGUCAUUCUUUGGUGUUCAAUCUCUGGCUGAAAGUUCAACAUCUUCUGCCCUUGCUUCGCCCCCUGUGGGUUUCACUUUCAAAGCUUUUGGAUACAGAAUCAUACUUCCUGAAUAUGCACCAGGGUGGAUAUAUUUUUGGUUGCUCAUGGCUGCUGGUUGUGGACUAUUCAUCAGUGAGGAGGCUUUAAAUAUUUGGGUUGGCAUAACCUUAUCGCGGAUGCUGUCAGUGGAUGGAACAUGGCAAUCUUUUGUUGAGUCGUUCUCCAGAAAUGCUCCAUACAUAAUGUCUACAGUAUUCUGGGUGUACUGGGGAGUCUGUAUCAGUGAUAUGAUACCAUUCUACCUUGGGAAGCUUUUCAGGGAAAGCGGGGCAACUGAUGAUAUUUGUUCAAAGCUAGGGAUUGGUGAAGAGAAGGUAUCGAGCAUUACACAUACUGUGCAACAAUAUGGAAAUCUUGCAGGCAUUGUGGAGCGGUUUUCACUUGGAGUAAGAAAUCCUACAGCUUUCCUAGCAGGGACGCUGGUUAGUGGUCAUCAUUUGUAUAAAGACUGCGCUUGGGAAAUUGGUUUUCAUUCUCUUACCACUAUUAAAUUAAUAAUAUUCCUUAUGCUUGAGUGACUGCUGGUUUUGACUCAGUUUAUAGAUUUUCUUGAUUUAUCCCAUGCUCUUAAUUUUUUUCAUCUAUGGUUCUCUGUUCUUUUAAUAUGGCUGAGCUUGGCUUUUUGACAUUUGCUUCAUUGGAGUACUGCUUACUUUAGUGAUUUAUGAGCAAGCAUGAUGACAGCCAAAUUUAAAGCCACUAUUAUGUUUUCGGUUCAUAUUAUGUUUUCUUGCAUUGAGCACACCUAUUUUAAUUCUUUCCUAGCAAGAUGCAUGCCAAAUGAAGGGAAAAGGGAAGCAAUUAAUUCUUAAUACACUAGAAGCUACUCUAGAUACUCUUUGGAUGCUAUAAUGAGUGAAUUACCACUGUUGGAGGUGCUGCGUUCACAUGCUGUUCAUGUUUCUCAAGAACAUGGGUAUAUCUCCGGAGUUUUUCUUUGCUGGAGUUUGCUGUGGUGGCUUGAUCACCCUUCCACUACAGCUAGGUAUUGGAUUUCUAUUGAGGGAACGCCCGGUGGUUGCCCUUGCCACUGUUGCCACAGUAGUG